rnacentral:tRNA from 1 species
GGAGGGGUGGGAGAGUGGCUAAAUCCAGCAGACUGUAAAUCUGCCCGUCUCAGACGUACGGUGGUUCGAAUCCACCCCCCUCCACCA